rnacentral:rRNA from 1 species
CUCCCGUUGGUGAACCUGCGGAGGGAUCAUU